GUCCACGCCGUAAACGAUGAGUGCUAGUUGUUGGGAAGUUUACUUCUCAGUGACGCAGCUAACGCGAUAAGCACUCCGCCUGGGAGUACGGCCGCAAGGUUAAACUCAAAGGAAUUGACGGGGCCCGCACAAGCGGUGGAGCAUGUGGUUUAAUUCGAAGCAACGCGAAGAACCUUACCAGCCCUUGACAUGGGUAUCGCGAGAUCCAGAGAUGGAUUUCUUCAGUUAGGCUGGAUACCACACAGGUGCUGCAUGGCUGUCGU
rnacentral:rRNA from 1 species